CCUACGGGUGGCAGCAGUGAGGAAUAUUGGUCAAUGGCCGUAAGCCUGAACCAGCAAAGCAGCGUGAGGGAAGAAUGCCCUCUGGGUUGUAACUUCUUUUUAUGCGGGGAAAAAGGUGUCCACGUGUGGAUGAUUGCAGGUACCGCAUCAAUACGGACCGGCCAAUUACGUGCCAGCAGCCGCGGUAAUACGGAAGGUCCGGGCGUUAUCCGGUUUUAAUGUGUUUAAAGGGGGCGUAGGUGGGUCGUGAUGGGUGCCGUGAAAUUUUGUGGCUCAACACUGUUAGUGCGGGGGAAACUGGGGAACUUGAGUGCGCGGGAGGCAGGCGGAAUUCGUGGUGUAGCGGUGAAAUGCUUAGAUAUCAGGAAGAACACCGAUAGCGAAGGCAGAUUACUGGAGCGUUACUGACGCUGAGGCUCGAAAGCGCGGGUAGCAAACAGGAUUAGAUACCCCGGUAGUC
rnacentral:rRNA from 1 species